CCCUUAGAUGUUCUGGGCCGCACACGUGCUACACUGAGUGGAUCAGCGGGUCAGGUUGCGCGAAAGUGUUUCCUAAUCUUGAAAUCCGCUCGUGAUGGGGAUUGACGGUUGCAAUUUUCUGUCAUGAACGAGGAAUACCUUGUAAGCGCGGGUCAUCAUCCCGCGCUGAAUACGUCCCUGCCCUUUGUACACACCGCCCGUCGCUCCUACCGAUUGAGUGGUCCGGUGAGGCUUUGGGAUCUGGAUGGAAAGAGCGUUUCGCUGUUUCUGCCCGGAAAACUCAGUCGAACCUUAUCAUUUAGAGGAAGGAGAAGUCGUAACA
rnacentral:rRNA from 1 species